UUGUUUGGUUGUGUUCAAUACAUAAUUAUAUAGGUCAUGUUAUUUUGAACCUUAUGACGCAAGGGCGUAGCCCUGCAGAAGAGAUCGUGUUAUAAUGAGAACUUGCAAGAAAAUAGCCCUACAGAAAACUCUCAGUCAUUGAUUGACCACUUUCUUUCCAGCCCAAUGAGUUUCGGCUGCUGCUUUGUUUAUUUCGCAACUGUGAAGUUUGUUUACACCGUAUUCCAGCGAACCGAGUCUGCAUGCCUGGUCGUCUGCUCUAGUAACGUCUGGCAGCGAAAAUAUCGUGUUACUGUCAGUAGAAACACUCAACCAAGGUGGAACCAAGGCAAUGGAUGCCUAGUAGGGAUCAGCCGACCGUUAGCCCCUCACUAGCACACACAGAUUAGUUGUUUACCUUGAAGCCUUCUCUGAUCUAUCUUAUAUAUAACUUUUUAAAAAACUUUCUUUGAAGCCUAAAGAUUCAUAGGGAAGGCAAUAUGUGAUCACUUUUGUGAGAUAGAUAGAUAGAUAGAUAGAUAGAUAGAUAGAUAGAUAGAUAGAUAGAUAGAUAGAUAGAUAGAUAGAUAGAUAGACAGA